UUUAAGCUAAUGAAACUAUACCUUCGUAUUCAGGAUGUCAUUCAACACUUGCCGCUAUAUGAUGGUAAGUUUGAUACUAAAGGAUAUGUUAAACGGGAACUAGCAGUACAUUUAGAAUUUUGCAAACAUGAUUUGUCAGAAGAACAAAAAAUUCUAGCUGCUGCUGGAGUUCUUAUUGAUUAUGCUUUGGCUGUUUGGAAACACUUAUGUAGACAUGAUAAGGUACCUAAAACAUGGAAUGCGUUGAAAACUAUUUUGAGAGAGUACUUUGUUCCUGAAUAUUAUGCUGAUCAUUUGCUUGCUAAGCUACAAAGUUUGAAAUAAGGUUGUAACACUAUUGAAACAUACUACCUAGAUCUCCAGAUUCAUAUGUUGCAAUGUAGUUUGAUAGAAUACGAAGAUGCAACUAAAAAUAGAUUUUUGAGAGGGCUGAACAAAGAAAUCUAUGAUAUUCUAGUUCAUGAAACAUAUACUUCCUUCCCUCAAUUGUUAAAAUUAGCUUGCACUGCUGAAAAUGAGAUUUUGUUAGCCUUGCAUACUUGCAAUGAAGAAGUGCUUUCAGUAGAGGAGCUUCCUUUUGUUCCUGUAUAUGGUUCUAACAAUUUGCAGGAAAUUGGGCCCAUCUCCAACUCGGGAGAUGAGCUGCCAUAAGCAUCAAUGGAUAAUCAAGAAGACAAGCUUCUUCUACCAUCCCUCCCUAAGGAGGCUCAUAUAGGUAACAUAUGGAGUGCUUCAGAUACUCGAGGUCAAUUUUCAAGAAGGGGAGAAAAUCUUGCUGCCUUGUAUUUUAUUGGGAGUUUUAGGAUUAUAUUUGAAAGAACUUGAAAAGACUCCAUUACUGAACAACACUCAUAACGCCAAAACGAGGACGGUUUGCAGUCAAGAAGGGGAGAAUGAUGACGAUAUCACUAGCACGGAUACGACCAUAUUAGUGCCUUCAUGCCCAAAGAAUUACUUGACUGGAUAAAGCCGUGUGUGAAAAUUACAUGGAAAACUUGGA